UUUCCGUAGGUGAACCUGCGGAAGGAUCAUUAAAAAAUUGGACUCCAUUGGUGAGUUCAUUAAUAAUCCCUACCCUUUGUGAAUUUGUUUGUUUGAAUAAUUUUUUUUCCAAAAAAAAUUAUUGAAUGUCUUUCCUUGUUUUGGUGGAGCUUGUAAAGUGAAACCAGGCAGGGGAAUGGCAAACAAUAAUUAUUUUUGAAAAAGACCUUUUUUUAAAAUUAAACUUUUUGUAUUCAUUUGUCUAAAAUUAAUUUUUAUAAUAUAAAAACAACUUUUGACAAUGGAUCUCUUGGUUCUCGCAACGAUGAAGAACGCAGCAAAAUGCGAUAAGUAGUGUGAAUUGCAGAAUACGUGAAUCAUCGAAUCUUCGAACGCAUAUUGCACUUUUUUAGUUUACUAAAAAAGUAUGUCUGUUUGAGUAUCAGUAAAAUAUUCUCAUAAAAAACAUUGUUUUUUUUAUGGUUAUGAGUGUUUUACAACGAUAACAAGUUGUUUCACUUUAAAUUCUUUGUUAUCAAAAAAAUCAUUAAAAGCUAAUUUUAAAGAUUUUUUAAAAUUGGAUAAAAUUUUCCCGUAAAAAGGAAUAACCUAAACAAUUUUAAAAAAUUAAAAUUGGUUUGAUUUUUUUUGAAACCCAAAGGAAAAAAAAAACGAAAUUAACUUGAUCUCAAAUCAGAUAAGAGUACCCGCUGAACUUAAGCAUAUCAAUAAGCGGAGGAAAAGAAACUAACUAGGAUUCCCUCAGUAACGGCGAGUGAAGCGGGAAGAGCUCAAAUUUGAAAUCUUCAAGGUUUUACCUUGACGAAUUGUAGUUUAAAGAAGUGUUUUCUGUUGGAGUUUUGGUAAAAGUUCUUUGGAAAAGGACAUCAUAGAGGGUGGGAAUCCCGUAUUUGACCAUUAUCUCCAGCUUUGUGAUACACUUUCAAAGAGUCGGAUUGUUUGGGAAUGCAGUCCAAAAUGGGUGGUAAAUUUCAUCUAAAGCUAAAUACUGGCGAGAGACCGAUAGCGAACAAGUACCGUGAGGGAAAGAUGAAAAGAACUUUGAAAAGAGAGUUAAACAGUACGUGAAAUUGUCAAAAGGGUAGCGUUUGACACCAGUGUUGUUUUCUCGAAAAUCAAUUAAAAAAGGCCGGAUUUUGUGUUGUAUUGACUUUAUCAGCUUUCUGCACUCUUUUCUUGUCUUUUUUAAUGCACUUUUCGUUUAACAAGUCAACAUCAAUUUCUUUUGUUGUAAAAGGGUCAUUGGAAGGUGGCUUUCUUUUCGGAGAAAGUGUUUAUAGCCUUUGGCCUCUGCAAUCGGAGAGAUUGAGGUCUGCAGCGUAGAUCCUUCGGGGUUAGAUACAUUUGUGCUAAGUUAUAGCCUUUCAUAGACAACUUGUUGACUAUGAUCAGUCAUGUAGCUUACUCGCUUAUGCUAUUU
rnacentral:misc_RNA from 1 species